AUUGAACGCUGGCGGCAGGCCUAACACAUGCAAGUCGAACGAGCGGCGGACGGGUGAGUAAUGUAUGGGGAUCUGCCUGAUGGCGGGGGAUAACUACUGGAAACGGUAGCUAAUACCGCAUACCAUCAGAUGAACCCAUAUGGGAUUAGCUUGUAGGUGAGGUAACGGCUCACCUAGGCGACGAUCCCUAGCUGGUCUGAGAGGAGGAACAGCCAAACUGGGACUGGAGCAAGGCCCAGACUCCUACGGGGGGCCGGAGUGGGGAAUAUUGCACAAUGGGCGCAAGCCUGAUGCAGCCAUGCCGCGUGUAUGAAGAAGGCCUUCGGGUUGUAAAGUACUUUCAGUCGGGAGGCGUUACCGACAGAAGAAGCACCGGCUAACUCCGUGCCAGCAGCCGCGGUAAUAC
rnacentral:rRNA from 1 species